rnacentral:rRNA from 1 species
GGUGAACGCUGGCGGCGUGCCUAAUACAUGCAAGUCGAGCGAACGGACGAGAAGCUUGCUUUUCUGAUGUUAGCGGCGGACGGGUGAGUAACACGUGGAUAACCUACCUAUAAGACUGGGAUAACUUCGGGAAACCGGAGCUAAUACCGGAUAAUAUUUUGAACCGCAUGGUUCAAAAGUGAAAGACGGUCUUGCUGUCACUUAUAGAUGGAUCCGCGCUGCAAUAGCUAGUUGGUAAGGUAACGGCUUACCAAGGCAACGAUGCAUAGCCGACCUGAGAGGGUGAUCGGCCACACUGGAACUGAGACACGGUCCAGACUCCUACGGGAGGCAGCAGUAGGGAAUCUUCCGCAAUGGGCGAAAGCCUGACGGAGCAACGCCGCGUGAGUGAUGAAGGUCUUCGGAUCGUAAAACUCUGUUAUUAGGGAAGAACAUAUGUGUAAGUAACUGUGCACAUCUUGACGGUACCUAAUCAGAAAGCCACGGCUAACUACGUG